ensembl:lncRNA
AGAUGAAAAAAUGUGCACGAGAGGAUCUUCCUUCACCACAAACAGCUCCAACAGGCUGCCUGGCUCUCUUUAUAUAUAAGGAUCGAAUCGGCAUGUCUAAUCCAAAAUGGUGUAGUUUAUGUUGGCUCUGGUUUAGGCUCGUUUGAGUCUGAUGUGAUGGAACACUCCUUCUUUAUAACGUCUGCUAGUUUAGGCUCCACCUUGGUCAGUGUGGAAAUGAAGCAGAGCACCUGCGCAUAGAGAAAGAAAAAACUCUGAGGGAGGGAGGGAAGGAUGGGAUGGAUGGAAGACAGUAUGUGUAUUAAAUAACUCAUGGAUGGAUGGAUGGAUGAGUGGGAGGGUGGAUGAGUGGGUGGAUGGAUGGAUGGGAGGGUGGAUGGAUGGAUGAGUGGGUGGAUGGAUGGAUGGAUGGGUGGAUGGAUGGAUGGAUGGGUGGAUGGAUGGGUGGAUGGAUGGAUGGAUGAAUGGGUGGAUGAAAGGAUGAGUGGGAGGGUGGAUGGGUGGAUGGGAGGGCAGAUGGAUGGAUGGGUGGAUGAAAG